rnacentral:rRNA from 1 species
CCUACGGGAGGCAGCAGUGAGGAAUAUUGGUCAAUGGACGAGAGUCUGAACCAGCCAAGUAGCGUGAAGGAUGACUGCCCUAUGGGUUGUAAACUUCUUUUAUCAAGGAAUAAAAUGAGGCACGUGUGCCUUUCUGAGUGUACUUUAUGAAUAAGGAUCGGCUAACUCCGUGCCAGCAGCCGCGGUAAUACGGAGGAUCCGAGCGUUAUCCGGAUUUAUUGGGGUUAAAGGGUGCGUAGAUGGGUUGUUAAGUCAGUGGUGAAAGUUUGGGGCUCAACCGUAGAAGUGCAUUUGAUACUGGCAGUCUUGAGAAGAGUUGAGGUAGGCGGAAUGCGUGGUGUAGCGGGGAAAUGCUUAGAUAUCACGCAGAACCCCGAUUGCGAAGGCAGCUUACUAAA